rnacentral:lncRNA from 1 species
UACACUCUUAGAAUUCUUCCUAGCUACGUCUCUUGUUAGAUGGAUGGCCAAUUGUGUAGGAAUACUGGUCUCUUGAGGGCAGCCUUCAUUAUUGAAUGGAUGCAAGUCAGCAUAUUUGGUCUAUGAAAGCAUAAGCACUCCUGAUUCUUCUUUGUACUUUUGCGGUACUCGUUCUUUGUACGCUUAACUUGAUCUUUCGUUCUCAUGUAAGAAUAAUCAGCAGUUGAAAUUUUCUUUGAGUCUCAGGGUGA